rnacentral:lncRNA from 10 species
CGGCAUUUGGCGGGGCUUUUGUCUCUCGCUGCAGCCAGAGCUUGGGAUCGCUUUCUGCUAUUCAACGUCCUCCACCUCUGCCCCCCUCUCGCCCCAGCCGGUGACAGGCUGUUGCCCUGUGAUCUGCAGGUCCUGGGACGUGCACAGACAGCUAAGAUGCCAGGACAUUCCAGAAGGUGGGAAAGGCACCUGAGUAAUUUGACUCUCCUGCCUGGACCCAGCGUACAGAUGGGAUUGUGCUUCAUUGCUGGACCCAGCAUUUAGGCCCACUACCUAUGAGAUUGCAUGCUCCUGCCUGGGCUGUGCCCACAGUGACCUUGUGACAUAUAUCUGCAUCCAUGACCUAAAAGAUGUGACACUUCUUGCCUGCAACCUGCCCUGCACAGGAAAGAUUGCGACUUCUCCCUGGAAGCAGACACCAGGAGAGAACUGUAACAUAUCCCUGGAUGAGCACCCAGGUGAUGUGAUAUUCCUGCUUGGUUCUUUCCCUCAGGGAAGAUUGUGAGAUACCCUUGGCUGAAAUCCCAGGUCAUACAGAAUUGCCACCCUCCAACAUAUCAUAUAAUGCCCUCGAGUGUUACAAAGAGUGUUAUCCCAAGGCACACAGCACAAAGGGAUCGUCACUCCCGUGGAUGAUCAAAGGCGCCUGUAAUUUCAGCUACUCCGGGGGCUGAGGCAGGAGAAUCGCUUGAACUCGGGAAGCAGAAGUUGCAGUGAGCCAAGGUCGCACCACUGCACUCCAGCCCAGGCGACAUUGUGAGACUCCAUCUCAAAAAAAAAAAAAAGAAAAAAAGUGUACUAACAAGACCCAGCACACAGAGGAGACUUUUACCAUUGUAUGAACACCCAUCAAACAGUACACAUCAUCAUUGUGAGUUCUGAAUCUCACACAUAGAGGAAGUCAAAGGUGGAAAACUUGACUCUCAUAUUUGGAUCCAGUCCACAGGUGUGAUUUUGACGCACACUUCUGCCCAGCACCUGAGUAAUGUGAUUCUUCAGAAUUGGCCCGGCCCACAAAUAGGAUUGUGCCACACUGCUGGACCCAGUGCCUAAGUGAUGUAACUCUAUUCUUCUGCCUUGGUGCUACUCGAAAAAGACAUUGUAACAUAUCUCAGAGCCUUACACCCAGGUAAUGUGAGUCUCCUCUUCUGCCUUGCUGCUGCACACAGAAGCGGAAUAUGUACAGGAUUGUUAAUCUCAUCUUGGAUCUUCCUGCACUUGUGAUUGUGACACAUGCCUCUGUGUAGAACCUGAGUGAGUUUACUCUCCUGCCUGGAUUUAACCCAUAGAUGGAAUCGUGACAUAUCACUGUACCAGAAACUAGGUGAUGUGACUCUAUUUUCUUGCCUCUGUGUUUUUAUAUGGGGCAUCGUGACAUAUCACUGGGCCUUGCACCCAAGUGAUGGGAGUUUUCUCUCCUGCUUUGGUGCCGUCCACAAUGAAAAUUGUGAAAUAUUGCUGCCCUCCCCACUAGGUUAUGUUACUCUCCUGCCUCUGCUUUGCCCACAUGGGUCACUGUGACAUAUUGCUGGGUCUAAAACCCAGGUAAUGUCACUCUCUUGUUUGGGUUCUGCCUGCAGGAGUCAUUGUCACAUAUCUCUAUGCUCAUCACCCAGGUAAUAUGAUUCCCUUUUACUGCUUAGUUCCUUCUCACAAAACAACUUGUGACAUAUUGCUAGGCCCAAUACACCUAGCUGGUGUAACUCUUCUUUUCUUUUCUUUCCUUUUUUUUUUUUUUUUUUUGAGAUGGAGUCUCACUCUGUUGCCCAGGCUGGAGUGCAGCGGCAUGAUUUCAGCUCACUACAGCCUCUGCCUCCUAGGUUGAAGCGAUUGUCCUGACUUGGCCUCCCAAGUAGCUGGGAUUAAAGGCAUGUGCCACCACGCCCGGCUAAUUUUUGUAUUUAUAGUAGAGACAGGGUUUCGCCAUGUUGGCUAGGCUGGUUUCGAACUUCUAACCUCAGGUGAUCCUCCUGCCUCGGCCUCCCAAAGUACUGGAAUUACAGGCAUGAGCCACUGCACCUGGCCUGAUUCUUCUCUUCUUUCUAGGUUUCAACUGCAGCAGAGAUUGUAACAAACCACUGGGCCCAGCCGCAUAAUGAUGUUACUCUUUUGCCUUGGGCCUGCCCUCAGAAGGCACUGUCACAUAUUCAUGGGCCCAACGCCAAGGUGAUAUGUGUCUCCAGCCUGGACCCUGCCCACAGGGGGCAUUGUGACAUAUCUCUUGGCCCAUCAGAUGUUUGAUUGUUAUCCCCUCCCCUCUUCUACCCUGUGUUUGCCUAUAAAAGACACAGUCAUAUGUUCCUGGGCCCAGCACCUAGGUGUUGUCUUACUGGAAUGUGUCCACAUGGGGAUUGUGAUAUGUCACGUGGCCCAGUACUUAACUUGAUGUGACUCUCCUCUCAUGCCUAGGCCUUGUAGAGAAUCCCCUUCCCCUUUUGUUUUCCUUUUUUUCUUUGCAGAUCCAGGAGAUAAUCAACUAAGAGCCAGGCACCCGUUUAGGUCUAAUAAACAUUUUACAAACUGCUCUCUCUUUUAAUUCACCUAUCUGAGAGAUUCCUCUGUACAAUAAAACUUGGUCUCCACAAUCCUUUACCUUAACCUAAACCUUCCCUUUCAUUGAUCCCAGGUCUUCAGAUUCCACCACUUGUCAACCACAAAAUAUUUAAAUUUACCUGGAAGCCGCCCGCUUUGAGUUGUCCCGCCUUUCUGAACCAAACCAAUAUAUUCCUGCAAAACCGGCCAUGAUUAAAACAUCAAAAAAUAAUACAUGUUGGCGUGGCUGUGGUGAAAAAAGAAUACUUUUUCACUGCUGGUGGGUAUGUAAACUAGUACAACCACUAUGAAAAACAGUAUGGAGAUUCAUUAAAUAAAAGUAAAGCUACCAUUUGAUUAAGCAAUUCUACUACUGUGUAUCUACAUGAAGAAAAAGAAAUUAUAUGUGUAAGACACUUGCACACACAUGUUUAUAGCAGCACAAUUUGCAAUUGCAAAAAUAUGGAAGCAGCCUAAUGCCCAUCAGCUAAUGAGUGGAAAAAGAAAAUGUGGCAUAUAUAUACCAAUGCAUACUACUCAGCCCUAACGAGGAAUAAAAUAAUAGCAUUUGCAGCAAUCUCGAUUUAGUUGGAGACCAUUAUUCUAAGUAACUCAGCAAUAAAAAA